GCGGAGCGAGAGGAGCGGCGCGGCCGGGGAGGGAGAGCCCAGCGUGACCUGAGCAGCGCAGCCCGGCGCCGUGCCAGAGCCGACGGGGCUGAGUCGCCCGCCCGUCGGCGUGCCCGUGCGGCGGGGCUACGGCAGUGUACGGCCUCCGCCGAGCCAGGCACAGAAAAUGGGUAAUAAUUGAAGACUACCUCCCAGCAGGAAAGUGAGAUCAGAUUGGCAACGAAUGGCAUGAUUGAAGACAAAAAGCCAGCUUCAGCACAAGAGUGAGUCAACUACUAGUGUUGGUAGCUGCCCAGAAGUUUCUUCCUCCUCAG